rnacentral:rRNA from 1 species
AUACGUAGGGUGCGAGCGUUGUCCGGAAUUACUGGGCGUAAAGAGCUCGUAGGUGGUUUGUCGCGUCGUCUGUGAAAUUCCGGGGCUUAACUCCGGGCGAGCAGGCGAUACGGGCAUAACUUGAGUACUGUAGGGGAGACUGGAAUUCCUGGUGUCGCGGGGACAGGCGCAGAUAUCCGGAGGAACACCGGUGGCGAAGGCGGGUCUCUGGGCAGUAACUGACGCUGAGGAGCGAAAGCAUGGGUAGCGAACAGGAUUGUAUUCACUGGGAGUCCAUGCCGUAAACGGUGGGUGAUCGGUGUAGGGGUCUUCCACGACUUCUGUGCCGUAGCUAACGCAUUAAGCGCCCCGCCUGGGGAGUACGGCCGCAAGGCUAAAGCUCAAAGGAAUUGACGGGG